GACGAACCGUGCGAACGUUGUUCGGAAUCACUGGGCUUAAAGGGCGCGUAGGCGGGCGGUCAAGUCUGUGGUGAAAUCCUCCGGCUCAACCGGAGAAUAGCUGGAGAUACUGACCGUCUCGAGGGGGGUAGGGGCAUGUGGAAGCUUCCGGUGGAGCGGUGAAAUGCGUAGAGAUCGGAAAGAACACCAACGGCGAAAGCACUCUGCUGGGCCGACACUGACACUGAGAGACGAAAGCUAGGGGAGCGAAUGGG
rnacentral:rRNA from 1 species